ensembl:lncRNA
GAAAGCCGUGUGUUGGUGCUGCUUCUCGCUUCACGCACUGCCGGCUGGACUUGGGAUGUAAUAAGUGACGUAUUGUGAGGUCGCCCUGCUGCUUUCAGCGUCCACGGCGCUUCAUACUGAAGUCAGACCUGCAGGAUCAAGCCGAUGUUAAUUUGAGCCUGAGCGGGCGGGAUCGUCCCCACCGACCGCCGGCAUCCAAACCGGGGGGCUGUCCUCUACAAGACUGGGCCCUGUGUCCCGCCAGAGAACCCGUCUCCUGUUCCCCCUUUAUUCAUCCCGCCAGGCCCUCCUAACGUCCCGCAACCACCAUGAAUCAGCGCUUUAAAAACUACAACUAUAUGCCAAUGGUGUUUUUUCCAUCCCAUUCUCUCCAUUCUUGAUGGACGUAUGAGGCCCGGUUGUGGACGGACGGGUGAAUCCUAUAAAGAUUCACUUCCCCCUCAGGAGACCACUGUUUGUUUCCUGUGUGAAACCACCAUGUAAAAUGUAAAAACGAAUAGAUUCUGGUCUGCUUCCUGCCUGUACAGGCCUCGACGGGUCCAAGCGUAUCGUACGCUGCAUUCAUUUAAAAUCAGGAACAUUUAUAACCAGAAUAAAAAGUUACAUAGCUGCACGUAACUUGUUACAUCAGCCAGUAUAAUUGUAUUCACGUGUUCUUCCAGGAAAAUGUAUACAUCCAAAUAAA